UACAGAGGGGGCAAGCGUUGUUCGGAAUUACUGGGCGUAAAGGGCGCGUAGGCGGCCUUCUAAGUCGAACGUGAAAUCCCUGGGCUCAACCCAGGAACUGCGUCCGAUACUGGAAGGCUUGAAUCCGGGAGAGGGAUGCGGAAUUCCAGGUGUAGCGGUGAAAUGCGUAGAUAUCUGGAGGAAUACCGGUGGCGAAGGCGGCAUCCUGGACCGACAUUGACGCUGAGGAGCGAAAGCGUGGGGAGCAAACAGG
rnacentral:rRNA from 1 species